UACAGAGGUGGCAAGCGUUGUUCGGAAUUACUGGGCGUAAAGGGCGCGUAGGCGGCGCCGCAAGUCGACUGUGAAAUCUCCGGGCUUAACCCGGAAAGGUCAGCCGAUACUGCGGGGCUAGAGUGCAGAAGGGGCAACUGGAAUUCUCGGUGUAGCGGUGAAAUGCGUAGAUAUCGAGAGGAGCACCUGCGGCGAAGGCGGGUUGCUGGGCUGACACUGACGCUGAUGCGCGAAAGCUAGGGGAGCGAACGGG
rnacentral:rRNA from 1 species